rnacentral:rRNA from 1 species
UCGUGGUACGAGCUGUCUGGUUAAUUCCGAUAACGAACGAGACUCUAACCUGCUAAAUAGUACGGUUGCAAUAUGUAUGUGGACCUUCGUCCUUGUGCCUCUGGUGCAGGGAUGGAACCACAUAAGCAGGCGAAACUUCUUAGAGGGACUGGCGUUCAAAAAGCGCACGAGAAAGAGCAAUAACA